rnacentral:rRNA from 1 species
UCAUGGCUCAGAUUGAACGCUGGCGGCAGGCCUAACACAUGCAAGUCGAGCGGAUGAAGGGAGCUUGCUCCUGGAUUCAGCGGCGGACGGGUGAGUAAUGCCUAGGAAUCUGCCUGGUAGUGGGGGAUAACGUCCGGAAACGGGCGCUAAUACCGCAUACGUCCUGAGGGAGAAAGUGGGGGAUCUUCGGACCUCACGCUAUCAGAUGAGCCUAGGUCGGAUUAGCUAGUUGGUGGGGUAAAGGCCUACCAAGGCGACGAUCCGUAACUGGUCUGAGAGGAUGAUCAGUCACACUGGAACUGAGACACGGUCCAGACUCCUACGGGAGGCAGCAGUGGGGAAUAUUGGACAAUGGGCGAAAGCCUGAUCCAGCCAUGCCGCGUGUGUGAAGAAGGUCUUCGGAUUGUAAAGCACUUUAAGUUGGGAGGAAGGGCAGUAAGUUAAUACCUUGCUGUUUUGACGUUACCAACAGAAUAAGCACCGGCUAACUUCGUGCCAGCAGCCGCGGUAAUACGAAGGGUGCAAGCGUUAAUCGGAAUUACUGGGCGUAAAGCGCGCGUAGGUGGUUCAGCAAGUUGGAUGUGAAAUCCCCGGGCUCAACCUGGGAACUGCAU